rnacentral:rRNA from 1 species
UUGAACGCUGGCGGCAGGCCUAACACAUGCAAGUCGAGCGGAUGAAGGGAGCUUGCUCCUGGAUUCAGCGGCGGACGGGUGAGUAAUGCCUAGGAAUCUGCCUGGUAGUGGGGGAUAACGUCCGGAAACGGGCGCUAAUACCGCAUACGUCCUGAGGGAGAAAGUGGGGGAUCUUCGGACCUCACGCUAUCAGAUGAGCCUAGGUCGGAUUAGCUAGUUGGUGGGGUAAAGGCCUACCAAGGCGACGAUCCGUAACUGGUCUGAGAGGAUGAUCAGUCACACUGGAACUGAGACACGGUCCAGACUCCUACGGGAGGCAGCAGUGGGGAAUAUUGGACAAUGGGCGAAAGCCUGAUCCAGCCAUGCCGCGUGUGUGAAGAAGGUCUUCGGAUUGUAAAGCACUUUAAGUUGGGAGGAAGGGCAGUAAGUUAAUACCUUGCUGUUUUGACGUUACCAACAGAAUAAGCACCGGCUAACUUCGUGCCAGCAGCCGCGGUAAUACGAAGGGUGCAAGCGUUAAUCGGAAUUACUGGGCGUAAAGCGCGCGUAGGUGGUUCAGCAAGUUGGAUGUGAAAUCCCCGGGCUCAACCU